GUGAGACAGAGAGCCAGGAGCCCAGAGUUGACCCAGCACUCUGAGAUGUUGUGGUCCUGUGAGGAGGACAGAGAACUGUGAGUCCCCUAGGUGUGCAACCAAGCUAAGUUGGAAGCAUCCAUCUCUAUCAUGAUAAUGGGCUAGUGCUGAGCAAAGAGAACUCAAGGACAUUGAAAGGAAAAGUUCACCAUGCUGCUGCCUGAGAAAAUACUAAGCACUCAGGUAUAAUCUGUUGUGCUAGCUGUUGACAGAGCAGACUUCUGGACCCAAUCUCUCACCUACCAGUUGUCCAGGUGUGAAUAUUGUUUACCUGGGGGCCAAGACAAUGAAGGUCAUCUGCCAUGAGGAACAGGCUUCAUUACAUUUUUUUUC